rnacentral:rRNA from 1 species
AUGUACAACUGUAUGUCCAACAUGCAGAUCUUUGCAUGCUUAAACAACUCAAUUCAGGCUAUCUAUGAAAAUUUAGAGGAUUUGUGGAACCAAAUCACCGACGAUUUCAACGAAAAUAGUCUUCAUGAACGACGGAGGCAGACAAUCCAAUGCAAGCGACACUGGUAUAAGCUGAAUCAUAGAAUUGUCCUAUUUGUUAGCAUGUGGCGUAGGGUGAGAGAUUUGUACAUUAAUGGCAGAUCCAGUGAUGAAUUAGUGUCUAGAGCACUUGAUCUGUACAAGUCAGAAACAAACAAGUCCUUCAAAGAUCUGAACUCAUGCAAUAUGCUAAGGAAUGAGCCCCACUGGAACUGGAUCAACUUCCUAGUGAUAAGACAAUGA